AGUCUGAUCUGGAGGACACACAAGCCACUCCACGGCGGAUUCCUACAAGAUUAAUAAAGUAGACCUGCAGGACCCGAGCAGAGCUACGAUGCUCUCCCAGGUAACGUUAGCUCACAUCAGGCAGCAGGCAGUCCAACCAAGAGGACGUGGGAGCAGCAGAGGGAGAGGAGCCUUCAGUCUCUCUGUGGAGGAAACACUACGUGUGCUAAGGCUUCUAACAGCCAGGGUAUAGACCGAUAGAGUAUGUAUUGAUCAU